CAGGGAUUCAACUCAGGUCCUUGCACUUGCGAGGCAGGCGGUGGAACCACUGAGCUAAAUCCCCCGGAUGACCGGGUAACUUCUGAGGAGAAAGGACGAGGAGAUGCAUCCUCCCGAGGCCCACACUGUGUUCAACCUGAAUGUGCUAAUUAUGGUAUUUCUAAUGUGGGAAGCCGUGAAGAAAGAACAUUAGUCACAGUUCAAGUUAGCAAAUCUCUUUUGGCUCCACCAGGAUUUCUGCACGUUUUUUCCUUCCGAAAGAGCAACUCAGUGACUUUGUCUAUGGAGGAGAAUCCAGAAUCAAGGUGGGGAGAUGGAGGAAACCCAUUACCUCCUUGGAAAACCAUUCCUUAUUGGCUCUGAGACAACAGGUGGAAACCUGUUUUGUCCCUGGGACAGCUUGAGAUUUUGACUGGAAAAAACUCCUGGGAGGUGCUGCCAGAAAGAGAGUCAUUCAUUGGCUGAUUGUCUGAUCCAAUCCUGCCAGGGUGACAGAAAGGCCCAGAGCAUCAUUCCAGGAGCCUUCAGGUGAUGUCUCAUUCAUCUUUUCUGACAGGAGCACUAAGAAUCAUGAUGCCUGUGUUAGUCCUGUCGAUGGUCGUGGUCUUGUAGGACGAACGCUGGAUUUAGAAGCAGUUGUGUAAGGUAACGUUCUCCUCAGUUCCUCUAAAUAUUUAUGAGCACAGUCAAUGCCUAUGCCUAACCGAAUAAUUGCUUGUUAGAUUGUAAUUCGCCUCUCAUCUUUCUCCAAGGAUACCAGAAGUCCCAGAGAGAACAGACUCAUUCUUCUCCGUAUCUAUUGUAGUUUCUGGACAUAGUAAAUUCUCAAAAGAAAUUUGGUGAACAAUUGAUUAAUGGCUGGGCCCCACAAGAUUUCUUGGUCUUGAUCACCAAAUUAGGUCUGAUAGAUCAACUGCAAAUAACUUGCACUUUUCAAGCAUUCAUGAGAUUUCAAAAAAGCAAUAGCCCAGGUUUUCAACUUUCAUUUUGUUUGUCGAUGUCCAGAUAAAUGCAAAACAUUUGACAAAGGACUGGUCUGUAGCAGAGUUGAAUGAUAAUG
rnacentral:lncRNA from 1 species